GGGGGUGUGAGGUUCGACUCCUCCGCUCUCCGCCGUCUUCGUCCAUCACGUCGAUCUCACACGCGAUUGCAGGUUCGAAUCCUGUCGUCCCCG
rnacentral:tRNA from 1 species